GAUUACUAUUGCAAUUAGUUAUGGGUCAAACGCUAGAUUGACUGGCCUAUAACCGCUGGUCAGGUUUUAGCUUGCCGUUUGGCGUUUUCUUUAAUGUGUCAACGUCCUUAUUUUUUUUUAUAAAGGUUAUCAAGGAAACAAGUGGUGUACUGGAUGAAGUUUGAUGGACUCUUCUGAACAGGUGCUGCAGGUCUUCCAGCUACUGUUUGGAGAAGAUAUUUCCUCUCAAUUUAUGGAAGUAGGGAAUUUUUCUGAAGGCAGAAAUCAAGGAUUCAAGAACCCAAGUUGGACUCUUGAUUCCACUGAGACCACUGUGUGCAUUUUGAAAUGUUCCAAAUGUGUGUCACUUCCAUACGGAAGAAGUUCCAAGCCCACAAUGGGCUCUAUGAACUGUCCAGGGCAAAGUCGGUCUACCCUGAUGACACUCCCUGUUCCUUGAUGGUAGCCAUGGCUGCUGCCCUCAACGUGAGCCCUCAGAAAUAAACUGAUAUCAACUAUUAAUAUGGAUGGUGAUUGUGGCAAGGGUGUCUCCAUAAGGUGCCAUCCAGAAGUCGCAGCCUGGAGCCAGUGGCUGCUAUUGCAAGACUCAUGGGGGAUGAUCUGCAGGCAAAGCUACGAUUAGACACUUGACAUUUACUGCGAAAGGUACCAUCAGAGCACCUCUCCCUACCCUGCAGGAUAUCUAUACCAGAAAAGUACAACAACGGCCCAAAACUAUUUCCAAAAGACAUUUCACACCCUGACCAUGGACUAUUUAAACCACUGAGGUCAAGCAGACGUCUCUGUUCCCACAUGGCUAAAACAGAAAGGAAACAAGGAGUCUUUUCUCAAUAUGCUGCUACAUCGCUCCACCCCUGAAACAUCAAUUUCGAUCUUGAACACAUGAGGAUGUUGGCUCAAGUUUGCCUGCAGACAGUCAAUAUAGACAGGUGUGUUGUUUUGAUUUGAUGUUUAGAUUGUCGUGCAUACAGUGUCUUUACAAUAAUGAUGGAACAAAUUCUCAUUUGGUUUUACCUACAUUGGGAUUAAAGGAACACUUAACCGUUUUUUCAUAUUAAACUACAUUAUUCCCUUAACUAAGACGAGUUGAUACAUACCUCUCACGUUUCAAUGCGUGCACUCACUGGCUCUGGCGCGCGGCGCAACUUUGAUAGCACUUUGCUAGCCCAAUGCAUUCAUUAGGAUCCAAACAGAGAUGAAGUUAGAAGCGACCAAACACCUCCAU